UACAGAGGGUGCAAGCGUCAAUCGGAAUUACUGGGCGUAAAGUGUGCGCAGGCGGCGUUGCAAGUCGAGUGUGAAAGCCCCGGGCUUAACUUGGGAAUUGCGCUCGAAACUACGAUGCUGGAGUGUGGCAGAGGAAGGUGGAAUUCCACGUGUAGCGGUGAAAUGCGUAGAGAUGUGGAGGAACACCAAUGGCGAAGGCAGCCUUCUGGGCCAACACUGACGCUCAUGCGCGAAAGCGUGGGUAGCAAACAGG
rnacentral:rRNA from 1 species